rnacentral:lncRNA from 1 species
AUGUAAGGGUCAGGACUGUCCUCCACAAGUGUAUAAGAAAUAUGUGCUUUUGUCAUUCAGGGUCACCUCUGUCCUGAUUACAGGGCCACCGCAGUGCACUGGGUCAUCAAACCUCUUGCUUAUUGUAUUGUUAUCCAUCUCCAUGUUUUCAUGAGUGGGACCUCCUGGACGUAGGGCUGAUUGGGUCCUACAGUCACUCAAGUUUGAGUUCUAAGACACUUUAUUGUUUGGAUGCUGGGGACAUUGAAGGCACCAAGGAGAUGGAAGUCAUCAACUGGGCAAAUGCUGAAGACACACGUGGAGGAGCAUGCACCCCUGAAGGUUACAGAGAACUUCAACAAGAGCCAUUUUGAUGCAUCAAUGUGGGCAAAGGCAAAAGGUUCAAGAGAGAACAAGAGAAAACUAGAGACCACAAGUGGAUAUAUGUGGAUCCUCCCAGGAGACCUACUAGGGAAAUGUGUUCCUCACAGAAGUUCUCUGUCAUGUCACGAUGCAGCCAAACUUGCCCUCUCAAGAAGCCAGAUGGGUGGAGCCAUCAGAUCCUGAACCUCUGGCUUCAAACUGUGAGCUAACUAAAGAUCUCUGUGCUGUAAAAUACCCAGCAUUGUCAUACAUUUUGUCAUAGCAGCACACAGUGGAAUAUACUGUAAUUUUAGCCAUACGUGCACUUUAGAGGGCAGGAAUCAUGAGUAUGACAACCAUGGGAAAUCCAGGGGCCUCAUUUUUCUUGGGAAGCCAAAAGGGUCAAAUUUAACAUUUUGUUAAAAAAAAAAAAAAACAAGAAGAGAGAGAAUACCAGUUUUAGCAAUGGGGAAAACUUUGCCUUCUCUCACUUGGGUAGCUCCCACUUCAGGGGCACUAUGUCUUAAGAGCAUAUCUUAUACUCCUUUCUAAUGCAUACCAUGCACAAAGGAACCUUUUCUUUCCCUCAGUGCCUGACUGUGCAGGGCUUCCAAAUGCCCUUUUCUCCCUAGGGAUUACUUAGGCCAAGCUCCUUGUAGGCACAUACAGUUUUGUCUUGUAUAAAUGUCCCUUAGGGUGCUUGGCACAUCCUGGAUGCUCAGUCAAUAUUUGCUGAGUUAGCACAGUGACCACAGUACAUCCCAUUUCUUAAAUAACCAGUGGCGGCUUAACACAUUUAAACCACCCCUGUUUGCGUGCUUUAUGAGAGCAAGUUGGAAAGACGACAGCACCUCUAGGUUUGUUUCUGGGUCAAGCGCUCCUCGGCUAUGAAUUGAUUCAGUGGUGGAGGAAAAAGAGAAACAAAUGGUGUAAGAUAACAUCAGGGAGGCUCUGUGGUUCUUUUUCUUGUCAUUGAGACGGAGUAACCCACAAAAACAACUCAGGGGUUGCUUGACUCAUGGUUUUCAGGGCUUACAAUCCACCAUGGCGGAGAAGCCUUGCCAGAGCUUACAGCUGUGUCUUGAUGGAUCAGAAAUCAUCGAGGAGAGAGGAAGCCCUCAAGGCUAUAAACCACAAGGCUGGCCCCAGAUACUUGUAUUGCUAGACCUGCUCCCUCCCUGACUAGCACCAACCGUGGAGACUAAAUGUUCAAACUCAUGGGGGGUGUGUUGGGGAGACAUUUCACACUCAUAAUGUAACAUUUAGUUGGGGGUUAGGGAGAAAGCUGAUGCUUCCGCUAUUCGUAGGGGCAAGAAAUGAGUGGAUAUUCAGAAGUGGACCAGCGUGGCUACAUCUGCAACUGUGACUGACCAAAGCCAUACAACACAGAACCAUGAGUGAUGGAGGCAGUGGCCGGUGCAGUAUGGUGGGAUGUGUGGCCAGCAGGGAUGAGGGGUAGGGAGUCCCAUUGCUGAGAUCUUUUCUCCCGUUUUCCCAUCCUUUGCCUAAGAAUUGGCUGACAAGUGUAUCAGCAAACGGAAAAGACUUAGCUCAGUGUUGUUAGCAGAAAAUACUAGUAACUUAACACUGCGAGAAUACCAUGCAAAGUGAGUUGGUAACACGGCUGCCGAAAAACCAACAUGGCGGAUCUUUACAUAAAUAUGUGUACACCUACAAAUGGAGGGGAUGC